UCUUGUUUGUCUAUGUCUCUCUCUCUGUCUUGUACGAACCGUUUGCAUCAAUUUUUCUGUUUUUCUGGAGUUUGCAUCAAUUUAUCUCUGUAAAGGUCAGUGGAGAUUGAUCUCUGUGUUUGAAUUCAGUGUAAAUUCCAUUUGUUUUUUGAUUGAGUUCCAUUGAUGACGAAGCUCGUCGAGUUCCUUUCUGAGAUUUGGUCUGCAAAUGAUUUUAUUUUUAAAAGGGAGAAUAUGUAAAAAUCUGGGUAUUGUCUUGAAAUUUUGAGCGUGAAGUCAGUCUUAAUUUGUUUAUUUAUUGGAUUACUGAACAAAAGAUUUGAAGUGUUGAGAUUUACGCAGUCUGAGUUCUUUGUGUUCGAGCCUUGGUCGUUUAGAUUCUUAGUUUUAUAGCUUUUGGUCACUAGUUUUAGUGAUUGAAACUUUGAAUACCACGAAUUAAAAUGCUUUGGUCUGAUCCAAGCAAAGAUGUCUAAGGUUGGGCCGUUGGGGAAUGAAUGACCGUGGCGUCUCUUACACCAUGUUGUAGAGGAUGGAUAUGAGUUCUUUGCUGAUAGACAGCUUGUUACUAUCUUUUCUGCUCCUAACUACUGUGGUGAAUUUGACAAUGCUGAUGUAGUUCAAGUCCCAUUUACUAACUUAUGCCGAGUUGAGUGUUUCACUUCCUGAUUCAGAUUUUUGGAUUGUAAAAAUGGUUCAUCAGAUCUAACUGAUGUGUGGUUUCUUCUCAAAAUGACACUAGCUCCUCUUUUGCAUACAUAAAUUCUUUAAAAAUAUGACUGAUUAAAACGGAAGUGUAUUCGUUUUCUUUGCUAAAGUUUUAAACUUUGUGAAUA